GGACGCGGGCCAGCGUAGCGCGCCGUCCGGCGACGGUACGCUCGGGCAGAUAUUGUCGCCCGUCUGCGGCCGGGUCGUCCCGAUAGAUUUCUACAACAAUAACUAUGUUACGUCGUUAUUGUUAUUAACGUUAUUAUUAUUGUUUAACGUGUACCUACUCUUAAGCCGAAACGAUAACGGUGUUCACGGUAAUCCGGUAUUUUACGAAAAUUACUAAAACGAAAUUCGACAAAUUUUCCCCGCAACGCCAUACACAUUGUUAUUAUUAUUAUUAUUAUUAUUAUUAUUAUUAUUAUUAUUAUUAUUGUUAUUGUUACCGCGACGUAACGGUGUAACGUUUUUUACCGUGUUACGAACUAUAGAAAAUAAACUAUUGCAACACCGCGCAACGUAGCACAGCGACAAUGUCCGUUAUCGAUUUCGCCAUCGAUUUAACCGUAGUACCGUAGUGCGUGUAGAAUAAUACCCGACAGUCAGUAAUAACAAUUUUGCGUUUUACCCGUCAAUAUAAUAUAAACACGCCGUCUGCGACACGUUGGCGCCGCGUCCCUUUCGGAACCGACAAAUAACGCCGCGACGAGAUUGACCACGGUUUUUUUUUUCUCUCAAAAUACGGUAUAAACUUUCAAUAAAACAAUUUAAAAAAAAACAAUUAUUUUCACAGACGCGAUAAACAACAUGUUUUAACACUGCGAUACGACUGGCUAGCGCAUUUUGUUUGCGUGCCGGCACAGUCGACAACGCGCGUGAAUUAGCUACAGUACUGCCAAACUAAUCCGUCGGGUCUCGUUCGUUCGAAAGGGACAGGUUUUUCUCAAACUGUCGCGGCUCCGUCGUUGAAACGAAAACCCGUGUGUAUCAUACCGUGACACCGUUAAUAAUAAUAAUAUAUCGUUUUAAAACAUAAGUAAUAAUUUAUCACUUAAGCAUAUAAUACUGUUUAAACUCCAAGCAAAACCGACGAUCGAUUCAGUGAUAACUCAAUGUUUUGUAUAGUUACCGGAGUGCUUAUUCCGUCAUUAACGCGCACUUCCGUCGGACAUGUACCCCACCCCGCCCCCUCUCGUUCUGGCCCGUCGACAUGAAUAGGGUUUUCGGAAAUUUCCGCCGUUUCGAUAAAUAACGUGAAAAGAAAAACAAAACAACACGAAUCGUCGUCGGAUCUCCGACCCGCCGAACCCUGUCUAAAACCUUGUUUCAGCCAUCAUCGUACGAUUUUUUUUUUUUUAUGUCAUUUCGUUUCGAUACUCUCGGUGUGUUCCGCUUUACUGUUACCAUUAUUCAACGGACAUAUUUCACUCCCACGUUUGAAACGCGAUCCGGUUAUAAUCGGUGAGCUUAACGUUUAAAUGUAUUCGUCUAUUCUCGUAAUUUUCCGACCGGCAAAACACGCUUGCGCCCGUGUCUAUCACUGUCCCGGGCAAACGUUUCUCCGUCUUGUAUUCCGAUUUCUAUUCGAUUCAUCCCGACUUUGUCCAUCCGCCUAAAUCUUAAUCUAUUCGGUAAAAGAAAAAUACUCUGAUAUGCUCGCGAACAAACGCGACGAAUCGCUCGCGACGGGCGUUUCCGCGUAAACGAUUGUUUGCUCUCCGUGUUUCUGUCAAACCGCAGUGUCAAAUGCGUCCGUUCGCAAUACGUUACAAUUAAAUUAAAUAGCGGAUGAAACGUCUCACGCACGUUCAUUGUAGGACUUACGUCUAGACCGAUUACAUGAUAAAUCACCGAGAGUGCCGAAAAACUAAAAAAAUUUAAAUCGUCAGUCACCGUGAUAUCCAACGGCGGCGGCGGCGGCGGCGGCGAUGUCCUCUUGCUCAAAUUCAAAUUCAAAAGAAAAAUAUUCAAAAAUCACACGAAUAUUUUUUUAAUAAUAAUAGUAUAACCGUUAAACACUAUUAUAUACGUAUAAACAAUAAAAUAUAGUCGAAUGAUUUUUUUUUUUUUUUUUUUUUUUUAAACUUUAACUUAUAAUACAAGCGACUUUUUUUUAAAAUUAUAACAAUAAUGUUAUACCGCGAUAUUGUCCGCGUGGUAAAAAUCUAUACUAAUUCGCUCUAUACGUCGUGCGACGUCCUAUCAAUAAUUAUUGCUUACGAAAAGUAAUUCUUACGCAAAACUAAUUCAUAAUACUAUUCAUACAAAUUCGUAUAUGCAAACGUAUUUUCAUUGUAUUUGUAACUUUUUAGACGUGUUUAGACGUAGGUACUAGGUGGUAAAAAAAAAAAAACUCAUUUUUUUUCAUUUUUUUUUUUUUUUUGUUUUGUUUUUACGCGCACGUUUCACACUGUGACAAUCGUACGGGUUCGUGUUUUAUCACAAUUAAUCCAUAUAAAAACAACAUCGCUCCCGGAAACGAAACCGAACACGUCGGGAACGGUAAAACGCUGUGUGCGAGAUUACGGGUCGAAAACGUUGAAAUCACCGACAAAAUAUUCGGAAACCGCGCGGAUUCGGCGGCGUAAACAAAAAAAAAAAAAAAAAAUACAGGCGGCUCGUUGGUCGACGAUUCGCGAUCGCCCCCGUCGGCCUGUAACGCAACGCCGUCGAAUCGCGCAUUACAUCCGCAGAGCGCGUACGACCGUAUUCGUAAUAAUAUCCCGCCGCGUUCGCCGUUCGAUGUGGACGCUUGCGAGCGUCCGGGGAGCGCACGGCGCUUAUACAAGAACAAUUGUCCGCGCGCGCACUCCCGCGUCGUUGUCGUGCAACGCGCGGUGUUCGGCGAGACCGCGAGCGCCGCCCGCGUCGCGUGUUCGCGAUUUUCACGAUCUCGUUCCCGGGUCUGUGCCGUCGCCUACAUCAUAUAGUUAUAGAUGUUUUACAAUGCUGAUGAUAUACAAUACCGCCGACGCGACACUGUAUUGUUUGCGUUGUUGUUGUUGUUACUAUGUAUAAUAUACCGUUAUACGUGUAUAUCGAUGUUAUUUUAUCGAGUUAUUUUCUUCCAUAUAAUAAUAAUUAUAAUGUUAUUACGAUUAGAAAUUUACGACUAUGUAAUAGGAAAAAAAAAAAAAAAAUUGUAUUUAGAAAAAAAAUUGUCGAAAACAUUAAAUGACAAAAUCUUGAGUCGUCUUCCGGUUCAACAAAAAAAAAUAAUCAUAAUAAUAAUAAAUGUCAAACAUAACAACAUCGAAAACAUAUGAAGAAAAAAAAAAAUAAUAAAUAAUAAUGAUACAUAGGUAAUCUAAAGCGUAGGUAAAAAAUACUAAAAUAAAGUUUAAGAUAAUAUUAAAUAUUAUGUAUAGAUUUAAAUUGUAUUUAGGUAUAUCGUAUUACAUUUAUAGAUUAUAGCCAUUUGGAAUAUAAAUGAUUUUCUUCGGUUUAUAAUGAAUUAAAAUUAAGAUACAAUAAAGGUAUAAUGAAAAAUUAAUAUUAAUAUUCCAUGUAAUAAUAAUAAUGAUAAUUGAUGAUCGUUAUAACGAACAAAAACGUUAAAUAAUAAUAAAUAAUUCAGCUCAAUUAAUUAUUGCUUUGAUAAAAUAUAAUGAAAUAAAAACAAAGAAAGUUAAAAUUUAUUAUUGUAAAUUGAAAUUACAAAUAAUUUAUAAACUAUAUACGUUUGUUUAUAGAGUUGCUAUACAUAUUAUAAUACAUUAAUUAAAAUUAAUAUUGUUUACUUGAACAAAAAAUGAUAAUAAACUAUUUUAUAAAAAUAAAAAUCGUAUUAAAGAAGAAAAUAACCGAUUACGAUUAUAAAAAAAGUUUUUAUAUUUAAAAAAAAAAAAAUUAAAAUAAAAAACCGUGUAAAUACCUAAUACUUUGUUAUUUGUACGUUGUUAUUGAAUCUUGUUAACAUAAUUAUAAUUGAUUUUAUAUUAUUACUGUAGACAUGAUAUUAUAUUAUUAUUAUUAUAGUAAAGUUAAUAAUACACAUUAUAUUAUUAUAAUGAACAAUUUAUGUAAGUACGUAUAUAUUAGGAAAAAAAAAAAAUAUUUUUUAAGCGUUUUUUUCGAUGAGUCGAAAUAAUAGAAGAUAAAAAAAAAUAAAACGAGACAAAACUCUAAUUGUAAGAGACUUAAACUGUAAUAAUAAUACAUAUGCAUGCGUAUCCGUCGCCAACCGUCAUGGCCAAUCUGGACGAAUGCGAAUUUGAUUUUAUAACAAUAUGAACACAUUCGCCUUUUACAUACGUCUGUGGCCUAACUGGUACUUUCGCGGUUUAACCGCCAGAUUCGCUGUGAAAAAAUCAUAAUUAUGUCAUCGAGAUGGCCCGUCUUAGAUCGUUGCGACGACAAUACCGUAAUAUGGCAGGUCCACUGUUCUCCCGGAAAAUUUGAAAAACCGUUAUCGGCCAUGGCGGUUGUUCUUAGACGACACGGUAACGUGUCGUAUAUUAUUAGUUCGACGAAAAACAAAAAAAAAAAAAAAAAAAAAAAAAAAAAAAUCCUAAAAAGUCUAAACUCCUCACGCGCGGGAAUAUUAUUUAUUAAUAAUUAUUACAUACCAUAAUUUAUAAUUAUUGUUCUAAAACAUUUCUUUCUUUUUUAUAAUAAUAAAUUAAUUAAAUAAUAUAAUAUUUAGCUACAUCCUUCGCAGUAUAUAUUGUAUUUGUAUUAUAUUAUAUAAUAUUAAGAGGGAGAAAAUUAUGAACAAAAAAAAAAAAAUAAUAAAAUAAAUUAGAGACAAAUAGAACGAUUUUAAUUUGUAUAAGUAAAGCAGGUUUUCGAAUACUUAAAAUUAUAUAUAAGAAUAAAAUAUAAGGAGAAAAAAAAAAUUGUCUUGAUUAAUAUUAAUAUUAUUAUUAUUAUAAGUAUAUCUAGUUGGGAAUUUUUUUUUUUUUAAUCAUUAUUCGCAUUUCGUCUAAUAAUAUAAAUUAUUCCUACUUUUUAUUCGUUUUUGGACUUAAAAGCGCGCAGAACGCUCCGACUUACUACAUACAUUAUAAAACGUCGAUAAACCUAUAUAAUCUUAAAAAAAAUACAAUUACAUAUUGUGAAAAAUUACAAAAAAAAAAAAAAUUAUAAAAAAAAAUACAUAUUAUAUGCCUAAGAAUAAUAAUUAAUAUAAUAACAAACAAAAAUAACAUAUUUACCCGAUCCCGUAACAAUAUAUUAUAAUAUAGAGACUGUAGAUUGUGAUUCGAAAUAAUAAUGAUUUGAUAAUAACGAUACUGCAAUGGUGGGGACGACGGGGUCGGUUCUUUCUCUUCCCCUCCGACACGCCCGACAGUAACAACGUGUAAAACAUCACGCCGAGUCGUGACUCGAAACAGUUACGCGCGCGACCCUUUGAAAUGGGCACGUCGCCACUCGACAUGCGCCGCGUACUAAAGUUCUCCGUCACUUUUGGCUGGCCGACAUUUCCAACGUUGUUCGCUUUGAUAUUAUUGCCGAUCAACCGAUCGGUUAUCCGGUAAACCAUACGGCCGUAUCGCGGGCCACAAUUCCGAACGACAAUAGCACGACGCCGUGAAAUAUUAUCAUCUCUUGUUUUCGAGACCGGCACCUCCAGCCGUGUCUGUGCUCCGGGUCCCCGCGCUCGCGUAUGCGCUCCCGACAACAAAAUCCUCCCGUUUCAAGCGAGUUCUCGCGGACGGCGGCUUUUCCGUCUGGCCAUUUUCGAAUACAGCCGUUAUUGCCGGUCCCGUCGCGCUCUGUCUCCGUGCGUGUCCCGGCCAUUCCGUCGUCCGCGGCGGCAUUUUCGGCGCGCCGAAAACAUCCGGUAGUACUCGGUUGCGGCUAGCCUCCCGGCGCCCAGUUCGCACACCGUUCCGCGGUCCAGGCGUACGAAAUGAUUUGCGUGCCUAACCGUUUUUUCGCGGAGUAAAGGUCCCCUGAGGCGCGGCGGAGGGGCGGGGAAGGACCGUAACCACCCGGGUCCCGCGGUGAUGUGCUCACGUCCCGAAACGACCAAAAACAAUAUUUUAUUCGUCUCAUCGUCAUUAUUAUAAAUCAUAAUUACGGUCCCGCUCAUCUAGGCGCUGUUUUCUAAAUCGUUAAGCAAAUAAUAAUAAUAAUAAUAAUAUAAUAUCGAAAAUACUCGCGAUGCGAUGUAAUACGCGAUAAUAGUGUUGCGUCGUUGAAAUUAAAUUUAAAAAUAUUUUAUAAAUCGAAUCCGUAUAACGUACAUUGAUGUACGGGUGAGUACACUCGAACACGAUACGUAACAAAAACACACACAUUUACAUGCGUUAUAAUUUAAUAAUAUCCGUUAAUUAAUAAAAUUUUAAACACGUAUAAUUAUACCCGUAUGGCCGGACUUGUUUAACCCGGAGUCGUUUAACCCGCGGUAAUCGAAAAAUACUCUAACGCUUCCUAGAAUUUCCCGUUCAAACAAUGUAAAAAAUUAAAACAAAAUGUCGAAAAUGUAGUGGAUAUCUCAAAGUUCCAUUUUUUUUUUUUUUUUUUUUUUAAUCAAGAUCGGGAUGUGUAAAUUUACUAUCGCAAAUAACGAUUGUUAAUGCUAUUGUUACCGAUACAGUUUAAUACUGCUGGAAGUACUACUCGACAAUACCACUAGUCAUUCGCUUACACAUUUCAACGAGACGCGUUAAUAACGAAUAGAAUUACAACGGAGUGAAAACUCGUUGAAACUCAAAUUUUCGAAUAUGUCGGAAUUUUCGCCGGUCUAUUCAACUCCGAGUUGACCAAGUUCCGCAGCAAUAAUUUUGCAUCCUUUAUGAUAAAACAAUAACAAUAAAAAGAAUAUCAGCUAUUUUAAAUAUUAUUGUUGAAAAUGAUCGGUUUUUUUUUUUUUUUUUUUUUACGCACUUCAGAUCGACUAUAAAAUACUAUUAUACUUACUUACUCUGCCAAUUCAUUAUUUUUUUUCUUCCUAUAGAAGACAAUCAACACUACAGUCGCAACAAUAUAAUAAUAUAUAUAUAAAUAUACGAGUACAUAAAACUAUAAUGUAUGGGAUUGUAUGGUUUUUUUUUAUCGACUCGAAAAAUGUUACAAAUAUCGUUUCUCUAACAUUUUUUUUAAUUAUUACGUUAUUGUUUGAAAAAAAAAAAAAAAAAAAAAAUUGUCGUUCAUUUAAUGUAUUAUUAUUCUAAUUCUAUAAUAAUGAUAAUUAACGUCGUGUUUCCAAUAUAAUU
rnacentral:lncRNA from 1 species